rnacentral:tRNA from 1 species
GAAAUAUAUUAAUAAGGCUUCUAACCUUUAAAUAGUGAAUAAUUAUCAUUUAUAUUUCU